rnacentral:lncRNA from 1 species
CCCCGGUGUCCUCUCCCUGCCUAUUGGCACCCUUGUGGCCAGGCCUGCUCCCAGAGCAGAAUCUGGAUCUAGAGGAGGGGGCAACCCCGUCCCUACUCUCCAAGGGCAGGACACACACACACACACACACACACACACACACACACACGAGCACUCGACACAGGCGAAGAAAACGCAUAAACAAAUGCAGAGUCAUCACCAGCUGCAGGAGCUUUACGCGGCCAUGCCAGGGGCGGACAGAACGAGCAGAGAACCGGAGGCGCUGAGUCCAAACAGCUGUGUGCUGUGCUCAGGAGCUAACGCCAAGGCGCUCCAGUUUCCUGCUUGUCAUUUGGACAGCGCUGAAAAGAGAUAAACAGCCCUCUGUUUGAAGAGCCUCCGAGGAGCCCGCGGCUCCCUGGCCCUUCCGGGCUCCGGGACGGGCGGCGCUGGGGGAAGAGCCAGCCCUCCCCCAGCCCUGGCUGCCCCAGGCCUGGUGACUGGAGAGGGUGGCUCCCGCCCCGCCUGGGGAGUGGGGGAGACGGGAGGAGGGCUCUUCUUCUGCCUGCAGCAUGGCUGAUUCUGCAGUUUACGGCCGGGCACCUAAUUUAUAAGCUGUUUUUACUGCUGUUGUCAAACAGCCACAAACCAAAGAAAUAAAGUAGCCAGAGGAACAAUGUCUCCCCUCUGCCUGGCCCUCCCAGCCUGUCUGCUGUCAGGGCCUCUGUCUGAAGGGCCGGGGAGCUAAGGGCCUCUGUGCCAGACCCUCCAAAGUGCCUCCCGCAGGCCCGUGCCAGUGGGAGACCCCAGGGGCUGGCUGUGUUGGAGCACCUCAGCG